rnacentral:rRNA from 1 species
AGAUUGAACGCUGGCGGCAGGCCUAACACAUGCAAGUCGAGCGGCAGCACGGGUACUUGUACCUGGUGGCGAGCGGCGGACGGGUGAGUAAUGCCUAGGAAUCUGCCUGAUAGUGGGGGAUAACGUUCGGAAACGGACGCUAAUACCGCAUACGUCCUACGGGAGAAAGUGGGGGAUCUUCGGACCUCACGCUAUCAGAUGAGCCUAGGUCGGAUUAGCUAGUUGGUAGGGUAAAGCCUACCAAGGCUACGAUCCGUAACUGGUCUGAGAGGAUGAUCAGUCACACUGGAACUGAGACACGGUCCAGACUCCGUACGGGAGCAGCAGUGGGAAUAGUUGGACAAGUGGGACGAAAGCC